rnacentral:rRNA from 1 species
UACGGGGGGGGCAAGCGUUGUUCGGAAUUACUGGGCGUAAAGCGCACGUAGGCGGCUUUCUAAGUCAGGGGUGAAAUCCUGGAGCUCAACUCCAGAACUGCCUUUGAUACUGGAGAGCUUGAGUCCGGAAGAGGUGAGUGGAACUCCGAGUGUAGAGGUGAAAUUCGUAGAUAUUCGGAAGAACACCAGUGGCGAAGGCGGCUCACUGGCCCGGUACUGACGCUGAGGUGCGAAAGCGUGGGGAGCGAACCGG